UUUUUUUUUUUUUUUUUUUUUUCUAUCUCUGUGCUUCUUUGUCUCUCUUUAUUUCUGGUCCCCAUGCUCACACCCAGGGCAAGAAUUCUAACCAAGGAUUUACAGUUUCCUGGACCCCUGAGCUUUGGCAGAUAGGUGAACCUUUGGAGCUUUCAUGAUAGGUUGUUCAUGCCUUUUUCUGGAAUUGAAGGCUGAAGCGUUCAUUACAUUCUCAAGGAGGUCUGCAAUUAGAAAUUACUGCUCUAGAUUAAUUUCCCAGCCUAUUAAUAUGACUAUCCUGUGUCUGAAUUAAACCUCAGAUGGGUCACUUUCAACUGAAUCCCGAGCUCUCCCAGCGCCUGAGGAGUCUUCAUGGCUUUCUGUCUCACUGCCUGGAAGGACAAGCUGGUCCAAGGAGUGAAACAUAGAUCCAACAAAAUCAAUUAGUCCACAUCAAAAAAAAAAAAAUGAUGAUUCAAUCCUUAGAGGAACUCUCACAUUUAAAAUUGAUGAAAAUAGUCUUUAGGGGCAUCCAUGAAAUUAAGAUACGGUGCCUGUUACUCAGUGGUGGAUGUUUAGUAUUUUAAGAAUAAAUCCAAUAGUAAUAUAAACAGUCUAUUCUCACAAUGCUCACAUUUAAACUGUGCCAGACACAUGUCCUGUGCCUGCAUGGUACUUCUACACCAUUAGCUGCCACAAAUCAAAGGGAAUGUCAUUGCUUUUAAUAGGAUUACAUAGAACUCAGUAACAAGCAGGAAGACUAGCUUUAGACUGAGUAACUGGCCAGUAAUUUGGAUGUUUAACUAAAUGAUUGGCUGCCAAAUUGACAGGUCAUCCACACUGAACUAGCCACUAUUCCAUGAAUUUUCAUGACCAGGAUCACAAUGGUUCAUUUGCAUGUGUGAAAUUCUGCUGUGAAGCUGGCUUUUGAACUGGCUAGCUCAGCCAAAGAUGGGUUUCACAGUGCCACGCAUUGGUGCCCUAGAAAUACCAUCACAUCACAUGAGGGUAGCAUAGAUCUUUCCAAAGCCUUCUAUUUACACACAAUCUGUAGCUAACCAGGCCAAUCAACAAAAAUGGUAAUGACUGGAAUGUAAAGAAUUCAGGAGAAAACUAGAACAUUAGAAAAUUAAUAUUAGCACCAAAAAUAAGCAUUUGGAUGAGGAGACAGAGGUUUAAAGUCUUUAGAUUAGACCUCAAGAAAAGUUUUGGAUUUGCAUGGACCUAUUGCUAAGGGUAACUUCUGACCCAGUGGGCAUUCGGGGAACAUUGAGGCAUCAUCGACAGGAUUAUUAGCAAAUGGCUGUUAUGUAUAAUGCGAUGGGACAGACAUGAGGACAACAAACACAGGCCCCAUGAAUCAAAGCCUUUCCCUAAGGGAUUUAAGAUCUAGCCACAGGUGCAAAGACAUGAAGCAAAACAAAAAUCAAAAUAACCCUCAUGUGCCAAUUAUCCUGUAAUAAGACUAAAAUGGCAGUGAUGUAAUGAAUAUUUCAAAGGUGAGGAAAUGUAAGCUUUAGAGAGGUUUUGUCAUUGCUCAAAGAGGUCAAUAUUAAAAAGAUAAGUCUAAAGCAUAUUUAAUUCAACAUGUAAUAGAAAAACAGUGCAAAUAUGUAGUACUAUAAAAUUGAAUAACUAAGCAAGGGAAUGUUUAUAUGAUGAGAUAUUAUGAAGACUUUUAGAAUCUGUUGUACAUGAAAGAAUACUAUUGACAAGAGAAAUUUUGCUAAGAGAAAAAUAGGUUAUGAAAUCACAGGUAUAGUUGUUAUAUAUACUGUAAUAGGGAUACACACACAAUAGAAUAUCAACAGUGAUUCUCCUUGUUGUGAGAUUAUCAGUAAUUAAUUUUCUUGCAUUUUUCUUGCCUGGCAUAUCCCCAAGUUUUUGCUUUGAGCAUUUGUUACUUUCAUAAUUAGAAAAGGCUUAAAUACAAUUUAUAUAUAUAUAUAUAUAUAUAUAUAUAUAUAUAUAUAAAUCAAAAACUACAUAUGGUCAUUGACACAUAAUAAGAUCUGAGGAAUUUCAAAUGAUAUCAUGUUAAACAAGGGCCUGAAGAAAUCAAGACAGACGCCAGCCAAGAUCAAGAUGGCCAUGGCUCCUGACAUAAAGGUAGAUCAAGAAGAAAGGCAUCAAGGCAAGGAUGUAAUAUGAGCAAAAUCCCAUCUUUCCCAUGGCAAGAUGCAUUGGGGAAAUAAGAUAAUAAGAUAAAUAAUAAAAAAAUACUGUUUGGCUACAGUAGAGAAUUCCAAUGAAGGAGGGGUCACCGGGAUAACUGACCUUACAUCUUUUGUGGAUCAUCUUUUUAAAAGUGGAAUUAAAUAAAACUUAGAUGCCCUUACGUGAUCACAUUUCUAGGACACAAAAGCAUAGAGCACCAGACGUGUCCUUUGGCUUAGACACCUGGCCCACUAGCCAACUUCACAGUGGAAUUUCACACAUGAGAAAAUAGGUAAGGGCCAAAUUUUGGAAGCCCUGAUAUGCCAAGCAAGCAAGUUGGACUUUAUCCUGUGGGCAGUGGGGAAUCUCUGAAGUUUUAAGGAGGGAGGUAAUGAGAGCAAAAACGUUUUAGUAAAAUUCAUGUGACAGCACUGGGGAGUGAAUUGGAAGGGAAACAAUUACAUGUGUCUUUUCAUAUGGUUCUUUACAUUUUUUUUUUCUGUGAAUAUCCUAUCUUCCUCAAUUAGGAUUAUAAACUCCUUGAAAAAAAAAAACUAUGUCUUAUUUUUCUUUGUAGAUCUGACACUUCUGAGCAAUAGAGGAAGCAUUAAGCACUUGUUAAAGGCAGCAGCUUUGGAUUCAGAGAGUCUUCUGUGGGACUCAGCUCCUUAAGGAAGUAAUCUGACCUCCCUCAGCCUCAGUGUGCUCACCUGCAAAAUGGGAUCAAUAAUACCCACUUCAUUGGUCUGUGGUGCGGAUUAAGUGAGAUUAUGAAAUUGAGUGUGCAAAGCCCUUGCAGUGGAAGUGUGCACUAAUUGGCCAUUGUCAUACCAAAAAAAGUCAUCAUACCAAAAAAGCUAGUAAGACAAGUUUGUCGGUGAAGAUAAUGAUGUUGAUUGAGACUCUAAGUUAGACACUAAGUGGAAGAGUGUGAGUCAAAUCUUAACUUAGAAGCCAAUCAUUCUAUGGGCAAGGCUGGGGACUGGAAAGAUUCACAGGGCAAAGACGGAGCCCCCUCAACAUAAAACAUACAGAACCCAGCAAGAUUGAUGAUUUUAGCCAAAAUGAGUCUUGAGCACAUUAAAAAGAGAUAGCUGGUUGGCACGGGCGGCUUGCUACAAUAAUAAGUGGUACCUGUGAGAGGAAUGGCCACAUCCCCAUCCACAAGAAUAAACAAUGAUGCCUGGCAGCACCUCAUCCAAAGAAACCUUCCCAUUGAGUUUCUGCUAACUGAUACUAUUACAAUGUGACUUGACUUCACUGUGUCCUUUACAUGUAGUUAGAAAUGCACAGGAUAACUCUGGAGAAGCCCGUUGUUCCAAAAGACAGGAAGGCCACCAAAGUAGAAGUAAUCUUCUCAAAAAGACACAGGAGCCAACCUGAAGAGACUCCUUUUGGCCUAAGUUGGGAUAACUUAAGAACCAAAAUGUACAAUAAUUGCAAUGGAUUGGAAGGUCUCAAAUAUAGUUUUUAAAGAUAUUUAUUUAUUCAUUCAUUCAUUCAUUCAUUCAUUCAGUUUAGAAAGAGAGUGCACGUGUGAGCAGGAGGAGGAGCAGAGGGAAAGUGAGAAGGACAAGCAGACUCCAAUGCUGGGCUGGAUCCCAUGACCCUGAGAUCAUGACCUGAGUCCAAACCAUGAGUCAGUUGCUCAACCGACUGAGACACCCAGGCACCCUGCAAGUAUAGUUUUUAAAAUCUAAGUAAUAAUACUAACUGAGGAAACAAAACUUCAUUGCUUACCGAAAAAAGGACACUUAGAGAACAAAGAUUCUGAAAAUUGAUGUGUAAAGAAAACAAAGUAUUUAUAUAAAUAUGUGUAUUCAUAUAAAUGUAAUACAUAUGAAUCUGACUCUUUUAUAUGAGUAGUAUUUUAGCCUAACCAAAUAGUUGAUGAAUAAAAAUUUUUAUAGAAAAAUUCCAACUGAAAAAUGCAGGAGGCAAAUUAGACACAUACACGAAAGUAAAUGUAUAGUAUUAAAAAAAGCCCCAAAUAUUCGUUGCCUAGUUUUAACAAGUACCAACAUUUUUCUAAUCUUAUUUCAUCUAUUUGUCUACUUUUUGCCUGAAUAUUUUGAAGUAAAUUCCAGACAUCAUUUCAUUUUGACUGUAAAUUAAAAAUUAAAAACAAACAUUAAACGCUGCUAUUUCACUGUUUAUAACAUCUAGAAUUUACACGAAAGGUAAAAUAAAAUUAUAUCAGAUAAAAGAGACUUUUUACUAAUUAUCCCACCCUACUAUCCAGUCAACUCAAAGAAAAAGUGAGAAGUAUAAAAGAUAAAUCAGUUUUCAUGGGCAAGUUUAGGGAAGGGUACGGUGGCUGACCGCUGCUCUUGAAAUGGAUUUGGUACCUAAAGAAGCAAUAGAGACAGUCAGACAUUAUUCUAAUGGACCAAAGUUAACAGGACCAGGUACAUUUUAACUUAUUUAGCAAUAAAGAGGAGCCUUAUUUACCUUUCUAAGUUAAUCUGAGGCCUGAGAAUAUUCCUGCAAUCCCCACUACAAGGUAAUAAAUGAAGAAAUAAAAAAGAGGUCACAAAGGAGACAUCUUUAAGAUCAGAAAUUUUCCUUCAUAUAACCUAAUCUCUCCUUUCCCCUUAGAUGAGUUAUUUAAAACUUCUACAAGUAAAUCCACUCCCAGGUGAGCACAAACUGACUUCUAGACUCCCCUCUAUACCCAUGAAAUUGACUUUCUGUUAUCAUUUAAAUUCUUCAAAAUCCCAGGGGAAGUUUCAAAAACACCUGUGGUGUUACAGUCGCUGUGUUUAUCACUGUCGUUC
rnacentral:lncRNA from 1 species